GAUGAACGCUGGCGGCGUGCUUAACACAUGCAAGUCGAACGAUGAAGCCCAGCUUGCUGGGUGGAUUAGUGGCGAACGGGUGAGUAACACGUGAGUAACCUGCCCUUGACUCUGGGAUAAGCCUGGGAAACUGGGUCUAAUACUGGAUAUGACUUCUCAUCGCAUGGUGGGGGGUGGAAAGAUUUAUUGGUCUUGGAUGGACUCGCGGCCUAUCAGCUUGUUGGUGAGGUAAUGGCUCACCAAGGCGACGACGGGUAGCCGGCCUGAGAGGGUGACCGGCCACACUGGGACUGAGACACGGCCCAGACUCCUACGGGAGGCAGCAGUGGGGAAUAUUGCACAAUGGGCGCAAGCCUGAUGCAGCGACGCCGCGUGAGGGAUGACGGCCUUCGGGUUGUAAACCUCUUUCAGUAGGGAAGAAGCAAGAGUGACGGUACCUGCAGAAGAAGCGCCGGCUAACUACGUG
rnacentral:rRNA from 1 species